ACUGGAUGACGCGGGAGCUAA
rnacentral:miRNA from 3 species